AAUUCUCUUUCCAAGGCUCCCUUGCAGCUAGAACGUACCCAUACAGCCCAGGCUUUGCCAACCAGACACAUUACCCCAGAACUUGAAUCAGGAUCUAGUGUCACAGAGUCAGAGGACCACAAAGAGUCCAUGCUGGGGUGUAGCAAGAAAUAAUGGCCAUUAAGUCCAGUGCAGCUGGCAGUAGCUGUGUAAGUGGUGCUGGCUGUGUGACAAAAAUGUUUUCAAUUAGAUAGCGGUGACAGCUGCACAACUUUGUGACCAUAUUAAAACGGAUGUGGACCAGGCUGAUGAGGAAUGGAAGAGCACACAUAUAAAAUGUUUGACACUGAGCCCGUGACCUCCAGGGAAGCAGUCCUAGGCAGAAAUACGGACUGUUACUCAAUUAUUCAGCAGAGUUGAUCCAAAAGCACUGCUUCUACAAAUGGAGAAACCAUUGGAGUAUAUACACCUGCAAAGGAGAAAGAGCCUGAGGGCACCAAGCAAAUUCAACCCGGAGAGCGAUCCACUGUAGCUUUCAGUAACAAGAAUUGGAUCCUACUGGUUGGUAGUCUAUCUCCUCACUUCCUAUUUACCCUUCGAAGUGGGUACUGAAAAGCCCAUUCCCAAGUAGAGGCCCUUUGUACAGGGCACUACAGUCGCCUGGUGGAAACACCUUGGCAGAGUUCGUUUUGGUGCCAGGAUGGGCUACUGAGGGAAUCUGCGGUGGAAGAGAGAGAGA